ensembl:snRNA U6 U6 spliceosomal RNA
GUGCUCACUUCAGCAGCACAUAUACUAAAAUUGGAACGAUACAGAAAAGAUUAGCAUGGCCCCUGUGCAAAGACAAGAAAUAAGUAAAUGAUAGCUACUAUAGGAAU